rnacentral:rRNA from 1 species
CCUACGGGAGGCAGCAGUGGGGGAUAUUGCACAAUGGGGGAAACCCUGAUGCAGCGACGCCGCGUGGGUGAAGAAGCGCCUCGGCGCGUAAAGCCCUGUCAGCAGGGAAGAAAAUGACGGUACCUGAAGAAGAAGCCCCGGCUAACUACGUGCCAGCAGCCGCGGUAAUACGUAGGGGGCAAGCUUUAUCCGGAUUUACUGGGUUUAAAGGGGGCGCAGACGGCGAUGCAAGCCAGGAGUGAAAGCCCGGGGCCCAACCCCGGGACUGCUCUUGGAAAUGCGUGGCGAGAGUGCAGGAGGGGCAGGCGGAAUUCCUGGUGUAGCGGUGAAAUGCGUAGAUAGCAGGAGGAACACCGGUGGCGAAGGCGGCCUGCUGGACUGCAACUGACGUUGAGGCCCGAAAGCGUGGGGAGCAAACAGGAUUAGAUACCCUUGUAGUC